CUGGGCGAUCCCUCCAGUCUCAGCACUGGCACCGGCCUUGAGAGGACAAUCCUGCUCUUGUUCCCUCUCUGUCUGUCUGUAAUCACCUGAGACCUUAAUCUCCACGAUGUCCUUUUUGGGGGGAGGAAAUGUACUUGGUCCCCACACUCUGCAAGCCGAUUAUGAAGCUAGCAGCCUGAGGCGCUGACUGGCUCCGAGUGGCCUUGCUGGAAGAUUCUCAUUGCAACAGACAAGGGUCGCACUUGCUUUGUUAUGGCAAGAGCUGGCCACCCACCCCCUCCCCUUCCUUCCCAAAGGCUGUGUUUUGUCUGUAGGCCCUCUGCUGUGACAUGC
rnacentral:lncRNA from 1 species